UUGGGGGGGGCUGUACGGGGGGCCGGGGGGCUGCAGGAGGGCCCCGGGGGGCUGCAGGGGGGGGCUGCGCUGCUGCGGGAGGAGGGCGGGUGCGGGUGCGUGCGAGGCAGAAGCGGCAAAGGGACAGCGAGGGAGGGGGACCCAGAGACGCGAUGUAUUCCUGGGGAUGUGCUGCACGGCUUAUCUGCAUUCGAAGGCUGCCCGGAGCGCCUCUUUAAAAUAAAUAGGAGGGAAAAGGCAUCCCGGUGCUCCUUCACGUGGGAUAGGAGGGAGCUCUGGGCGUCAGAGCCAUCGAGCCACAUAUUUAGCCACGAAUCCCUCCGUUCUCCACCCUUUGCUCGCACACGCGCAGGCCGGGCCCAGCCAGCCAGCCCUCAGCACACGGCAGCCACCCGCUGGGACAUUCCCAGGGAGGUCACUGCCAGCACUGCCAGGCUCGCCUGCACCCCCCGCACCACGCCGAGCAGCUACAAACCCUGCCUGCAGGAGGAUCGGACAGCGGGGUGGUUAACGCUCACCGCUCGCUCCGCGCUAAAUCCCAUCUCCGUUUUCCUGGCAGCAAAAACGCAGCCUGCGUGGCCGCGGCCAAGUCACGUAACUCACAGCUGCCCCGGGACCCAUCCCUGUCGCGUGCAUCUGUGCGGAGAGCAAGCAGCCAGGUCAGAGUCCAACCCUCCUUUGCUGGGAUGGGGAGAAAUCAACCCCCCUUUCCUGGCCUGAGGGCCGCUAGCAGGUAGCCAGGCCCAGGUUUAGGCUGUGCCCGCACCGAAGCAGCGAGGACGACGGCACAGAUGUGCAGCCCCCCGAGCAGGUACAUCAGGCUGCAGGAGAAAUGAGGCCACGAGCAACCAGCAGAUGGCUGGAGACCACAGAAAAGCACCACUGCUGCUCUGCAGGUUUCCCUAGCACCUCCUUUAUCCAGAGACGUUCGGUUCCUCCUCCUUGCUACUGCACAGGGAGCUGUGGCUCCGGUUCGGGGAUGGGAAGUGGAUGCUUUGCACCACCUCAUGUUGAACCUUGGAAUUUCACAGCCUCAUCCAAAUUUCUGCUCUCUCCCAUGCUGAGCAAACCACAGGCCUCACCGACUUGCCCCAGAACAGGCUCUUCUGGCUCCACAUCCACUUGCCCAACGCCUCUUCAGGAACUGGUGACGAUGUUGUGCGCUUCAUUAAGGCUUUAUUGUUCAGCGUCCUCCUGCAGAAGCACCAGCAGCAGGGCUGAGCUGCCCCCACAGCACGCGAAACGCUGCUGGAGAGCACGGCGCAUCCCUGCGCACAAGCCACCCCAAAUGCUUUCUCAACCCAGCUCCUCAAGGAGGGUCAAAGGACUGGAUUGGCACCACCACACUGGUGAGCAGCCCCAUCCUUCUGCCUCCCCUGCGAGCCCAGGAGGGGAAGUUCUCACCUUGAGAGUGUUUGGAGUCAGGGUUUGAUAGGCAAGGACUGUCUCACCAGGUUUUAAGCCAUCUUCGGAGCAUCUCCAGUUUUUGAGGGGCGCAUUUUCAUCCUCACACCAUCCCAGCGAGCUGCAGGUGAAGCAGUUCGCUCAAAGGCAACACGAGCAUUUGCAAACUCAGCCCUUACCAAGGAGGAGCCCUCUCUGGGGAGAGCCCUCCACUCUCCUGUCAAGGAAGGGCUCUGCAGGAGGAAGGUGAGAUGUUGCAGGGGAGAGCCCGGACUGUUCUCACAGCAGGAAGGCUGGACUCGUCCCCAGUUCUGCUUCCUUCUCCUCCUGCCCCGAUUCAGCCACCCUCCCUCACUCCCCCAAAGGAUGGGACAAGGCACUUAAGACACCCGUUCACUGGGAGCCAGCACGGGAGGAGACGUGCCACUGGAGCUGGAGCAGGAAACCCUGCAACAACAUCUGCAAGUGCUGCUCCUUGUUUUUGAAGCUCCUGGGUGUCUCCAGACCCUCCCCUUGCAGCGAGAAGCCCCAGUCCUUCGCCAUUCCCAGACGGGGCGGGUGCGUUGCACAACGCAGCCCAGCCAGGGUCGCCAGCAGAGCCCACGUGCUGCCCUCUGUGCUUGCAGAGGAACCUGAAGCAACACCUCCUUGUGGAAUAGGUUUUUAAAGGCCCCAAGGGGACUGCAGCAGCUGGGACCCCCCCACACCAAAACAAAGCGUGAGUUCACAAGCUCCCCAGUCUGUAUUUCUUGUUUCACCACGCCUUCGCUUCCCCCACAGUGCCUCCAGGGUGAAACUACUCAGCUAGCUGAAUGGGUUCAGCUUCACAGGCCUUCCACCAGGGCAAGCUUUGCAGGGGAGACCAGAGAAAGCACCGGUGCUCACUGUUUUUCCCACUCUAGGUUAUAGGAGCUCCCGGCAUGACCGUCAAACCCAGCAGCCACCCCAGUGCUGGGUGGCACAAGGGCAACAGCCACCCCAGCCAGGGCUGGAGGAGCCUCUGCUGCUUCUGUGCCACGCAGCUCCUUAUCCACCUGGAGCACAGAAUGGCUUCACGUGGCAAUUUUUUAUUUCCCCCUGCCCCUUUCAGUUGGUUUCUAAGCCUAGGAAGUGGCUUAUGGAACCUACACAGGGAUCAUCGAGAUACAGAGCUGCGUACCCGAAAGGGCAGCCCCUGCUGCUUGCAUGUCACCGCAACCACCUUCUGCUGCCCUUCCCAACUCUGCAGGGCUCCCUCACCACCCGCUGUGCUGGGUUUUCACCUCUGCAGCCAUUUCGAGUGCAACACUUCACCGGGGCUUAAGAAAAACCCAGCUAGAGCCUCCUUUUGGAGAGCAAAGAGAAUUAUUGCAUGGAAACCCUGACAAAGGGUCCCAGGGAAAGAAAUGCCCAGGAUCACGUAGUUAAAAAGCAUCUCACCAUGCAUGUGCACGAGGGGACUUCAUGUAGGUUGGAAAGCUCUGUUUCAAGCUGAUUCUUGCAGCACUGGAAACAUGUCUUUAAAAACAGCGGUCAAACAACCCCUGGCCCAGCAUUCACAUCGAGUGAAAAGGCGGAGGGAGCUGGGUCAGCACAGCCCUCUUGCUGUGGUGCAAAGCAGCUGUAAGGGCUCCUAGCUGCAGGGAGGAGUUGUACAAGCUCUCCGUCAGCAUCCUAAAGCACCUGGCAGCAAAAAGAUGCAAGUGACUGCCAGCUGCAGGGCAUUUAAAGGUUGGCAAUUAGCUACAACAGGAGAUGAGCAGUUCUCAGGCCGUGAACCCCUCUGCAGAGGAGCUCCACGCACCGCCUUGAGCGAGGCUCUCCGUGGUGCCAGAGCCACCCGAGCCACAGCUGGUUUAACUGCUUAACCUCGCCUCCUCCGUGCCAGUCCUUAGUGAACCUCUUGGCUGUGCUUGCAGAGGGCGCGAGUCCCCUGCCCUGAGCUUGCUGAUCCACCCCACAAGUGACGUUAGCGUUGGUGCCCGAGCUGAGUCUGCGCUGUCCACCCGCCGCAGCCCUCUCAGCCCCCAGACCACCCAGCUUUGCACCCAAGGAGAUGUUGUGUGGGCCAAAGCCAACCGAUUCAGCAGGAAAUAAAACCAGAGCAAAGCAUAUGAGAUGUUCCUGG
rnacentral:lncRNA from 1 species